ensembl:ncRNA F11D5.25 ncRNA
UUUUUCGUUGAUUUUCCGUAUCCAUUCAAGAGCUUUUCUUUCACUUAUUUUGUGCCCAUCCGAAAAAGCACUCAAGAAUAUAGUGCCACUGAUACGGUCAUUUGUUAGCUCACGCUCAUGCAUUUCUCGCUCACUUGAUUGCCCCUCCCU